rnacentral:lncRNA from 1 species
UGCUUUUCCUCGACCGAGUCUACAAAAUGAAUUCAUUUUGAUAACGUUACCAUUGAGUAAAAAACGACGAAGUUUGAAAACAAGUUUGUUGCGGACGUACUAAAGUGCGUUUAUCAUUCCUUUUUUAGCUCACCUGGCCUAAAAGGCCAAGUGAGCUUUUCUCAUCACUUGGCGUCCGGCGUCCGUCGUCGUCGUUAACUUUUACAAAAAUCUUCUCCUCUGAAACUACUGGGCCAAAUUAAACCAAACUUGGCCACAAUCAUCAUUGGGGUAUCUAGUUUAAAAAAUGUGUCCGGUGGCCCGGCCAACCAUCCAAGAUGGUCGCCAUGGCUAAAAAUAGAACAUAGGGGUAAAAUACAGUUUUUGGCUUAUAACUCAAAAACCAAAG